GCGGGGAGUGUAGGCCACCGAGGGACCGGCCCCUGGAUCCAGCCAGAGAGGUGCCUCAGCUGUAGCAUCCCAGCCCAAAACUUGUGCCGUGAAAUCCAAGACUGUGACCCAGAUAAUGUAAUAGGAUCUUCCUAUGAUUUGGGGCCAUAUCCUACUUAGAUGAACUUGGGACAUCCAGCCUUACCAAGCACUUGGAACUACACACAGGCUCCGUGCUUGCUUGGUAUAGGUUACCAUGCCAUCUCUGCCUCAAGAUGGGGUUAUUCAGGGAUCAUCUCCCCUGGAGCUGAAUACAGAAUUACCUUAUCACUGCACAAUGAAAAGGAAAGUCAGAAAAA
rnacentral:lncRNA from 1 species